GGGAAGUGAUGACACAGAGAUAAUUGGCUGUGUUUGCAUGGAGUGUGUGAGCCAGGGCUGGGGUGGGGGGGUGUGUGUGUGUGUUUGAGGGGGAUGUUGGGGGCUCUCCUGGGGGCACUGAUGGCAGUGCUGAGCCAGGAGUGCAUCUGAGGCGUGUUGGGCACCUCUGGGGCCCCUCUGCAACACUGCCAGUGAUUAAAGCCCCAAAAAAAACCCACCAGGAGAGCCCCAGGCAGCCAAAUCUCUCAGGGUCACCAGUGGUCCUGUGAUCUGAUCUCA
ensembl:scaRNA